AAAAAGAAAGGCUUUCUGCAUCUACCAGAAUCUAGCAGAAGAGGUGUUCAACACGUAGCUGAUAACCUCCAGGAAUCAGUGAAGAAACCAGCAACACAAAACGCUAUGAGAGCCGGAGGACCAGAGGCUCAGCGAGACCAGGGAAGUCAUCUUGGAAAAGGCUGAUCAGGAGAGAGGCGUCUGAGCUGUGCAUUGACAGAUCUUUGGGGAUGUCAGACAGACAUUUAGGAGGCUCUUCCAGGCAAAAGAGAGACACAGGAGCACAUUAAAAAAAAUAUAGAGUCCUCUUUGGUAGGGAGCAGUGAAUGAGGGUGCCCACGUUCAGAAACUGUGCAUGAGGGCAGAGCCUGGGUGGAAUGAGGCUGGAGAGGCUGGACACUGCCGAUCGUGAGGCCAGGCCCAUGUGAGACGCACCCUGCUGUAUCUGGGGUGCAGACCGCACAGCUGUGGUGGACAUGGAUAAUUUGCUUCCUCAACAUCGGCCCCUUCUGGCUUCUGCGGAGUCUGCCAGGGAGCUCGACUCUGCCCUUCCAAGAUCCUUGCUGCCGAGAUCCCCGUGGGAACCUAGGCUUUACCAUCAGACACACGGGCUGCAGACUUGGAUGCGAGAAUGAGGGCCGCUCUGCCAGGUUGCUAUGGAAGCCAUCAAAGUUCCUUCAGCCCCCAGACCCAUGGACAGCCUUGGCCCAGGCUCUUGGCCACAUGCAAGGUGAGCUGGGCUCAACACCCCCUGCUCAUUGAUGGGCCUCAGAGAUGUCGCAGUGGAGUCCCCACUCUGCUGCCCAUUCCGGGGGUCAGUUAUGGGCCUGGCAUUCUUACCUGGAUUGUAACAACCCAAACGUGAGACAAAAGCAAAAAGCCUCCCAAACUAAAUGUGUGGCCCAUGCCUGCGGAUGGGCACCCCAGAGACACUCUUAUCUCCAUCUUCUUGCAAAACCAUCUCCUAGAGAGGCAUCCUCACUUUCUUGGAGCCAGUUAAUGUAGCAGGUAUGGCUCCUUUCACUCUCUGCAGCUCGGACUAAUCAUUCCUGAGGGCCCACAGCAAGUCGGAAACCAAGCUCAGCACUAGGGAGAUGAGGAUGACCCAACAGCCUCUGCACCCCAGGGCUCGCGAUCUACUGGAAAGUGAUAGUGUUGUGAAAACUGCAUAAAGUAUGAACCAGGGAGUGAAAUAUUAGCAGAGGAGGUGAUAGCGCUCCAAGAAGAGAGAGCAGUGUAGGCAACUUAGGAAACACAACUUCAACAUCGGACCUGUGUCUUGAAGAAUGAUUAAGCGUCUGUGGGUGCAGCACCCUGAAAGGAGAACACGCAGGAGAUGGUUGGGAGUGAGGGCAGAGCUCUGCGAAUGUUCAGAGGCUGUGGCGAAGCUGGGACACCCCACAGGAAACGGCUGUGGAGCGAGGGCAGAGCUCUG
rnacentral:lncRNA from 1 species